UAACAUCGGAACGUGCCCAGUCGUGGGGGAUAACGCAGCGAAAGCUGUGCUAAUACCGCAUACGAUCUGUGGAUGAAAGCGGGGGACCGUAAGGCCUCGCGCGAUUGGAGCGGCCGAUGGCAGAUUAGGUAGUUGGUGGGGUAAAGGCUCACCAAGCCGACGAUCUGUAGCUGGUCUGAGAGGACGACCAGCCACACUGGGACUGAGACACGGCCCAG
rnacentral:rRNA from 1 species